AUAUAGAAAAAUUACGGAGUUAUUUUCUCGGACUGAUAAAAACAGUCGUUUUACGGGGUUGAUUUGUCAUAUUACAAAACUUACCGCUUUUACGAGGUUGUUUUCUCAAACUCGCAAUUACACUACUUUUACUGGCUCAUUUUCUCAUAUUCAUAAAUAUGCACGUUUUACGGUAUUAUUUCUUAUAAUGAUAAAUAUACCACUUUUACGGG
rnacentral:lncRNA from 1 species